AGAAAGCAAGAGUGAUCUCCCCAGCCUCCACUCUGGUCCCAGGAUCCCGAGCCGGCAGGAGACCCCUGUGGACAAUUCGAGCCAACCUCUGGCUUAUAAUGUCUCAGUGGCACCACAGCUGAGUACAGGCAGAGCUGGGACAGCCGAGCUGCCUCUAGGGCUAGAGGGGGCCAAGCCUGGAAACCCCAGGGCUGUCCAGAGCUCAGAAGGGACAAACUCAGCACCCCCGCCUAAAAUCGGGGCAUCAAGUGCCUCCCAGAUUGGAGAACCUCAGAGCCACACGAAGAGGGACCACCAAGAGUCCCUCACUGCUAGAAAGUUCUACCAAUCCAGUCAAGGCAACUUUGUCUCAGAACUUCUAGAAGGUUCCAUGGACAGAUUGCUCCCCUUUAGUUAUCCACUCAAGCCAGUGUCUCGGGCCUCAUCGGACAGUCACAGGGAGCCCUCAGGGGCUUCCACAGUGGGUGUCAUGCCCAUCAUCCACGUGGGGGUUGUGAGGGGACAGAAGACAUCCUCAGGAGGCCGGAGGGUGUCUCUGGUCCAUGAGCCAUCAUCAGAUGACCCCCAGAGACCCCUUCUUGAUGAGUCUGCUAAGGAUGCCAGGCAGGCUGGCCAGCCAAGAACAGUGCUAAGCCUGACCACACACCUCGAUCAAAGGCCCCCUUCUGCCAGAGGCCCCAGAGUUAGCUAUGAUAAGGGUUCCCUGGUCC
rnacentral:lncRNA from 1 species